UAGACCUCUGAUCAUGUAGAAAUACCUGCUGAU
rnacentral:rRNA from 1 species